rnacentral:rRNA from 1 species
AGUGAACGCUGGCGGUAGGCCUAACACAUGCAAGUCGAACGGCAGCACAGUAAGAGCUUGCUCUUACGGGUGGCGAGUGGCGGACGGGUGAGGGAUACAUCGGAAUCUACUUUUUCGUGGGGGAUAACGUAGGGAAACUUACGCUAAUACCGCAUACGACCUACGGGUGAAAGCAGGGGAUCUUCGGACCUUGCGCGAUUGAAUGAGCCGAUGUCGGAUUAGCUAGUUGGCGGGGUAAAGGCCCACCAAGGCGACGAUCCGUAGCUGGUCUGAGAGGAUGAUCAGCCACACUGGAACUGAGACACGGUCCAGACUCCUACGGGAGGCAGCAGUGGGGAAUAUUGGACAAUGGGCGCAAGCCUGAUCCAGCCAUACUGCGUGGGUGAAGAAGGCCUUCGGGUUGUAAAGCCCUUUUGUUGGGAAAGAAAAGCAGCAGGUUAAUACCCCGCUGUUCUGACGGUACCCAAAGAAUAAGCACCGGCUAACUUCGUG